AGGGAGUGACACCCUCUGUCCUUAGACCCUCGGUUCGAGUUAGGAAAAACAGAAACUGGUGAAACUAUCAGAUUGUGGUCACUAUAGUAAAGAAACCUGUUCGUGCACCGACAGAACAAGUCUAAGGAUAGUGCAGAGAGAAGUAGAUUAUCGCUGAUGUGAGAAAUAUACGAAAAUCUUGUUUCGGUGAGCAGAGCAGAGAGCACCGCGGCAGCAACACCGAUAACCGGAAGUGACACAAUACGUUACUGCAAAGCACAGCAUCCUGUCUCUUUGACUCGGACAGUGUGCAAAACUGUGUCUUUCCAUCGUCAUUAGUGUAAUCUGUGGCAGAUUUGUCCAGAACAGACACAUCUUCCAAACAGAUGCUAGAUACUGUGACAUAACAGAAGGGCUUCAGAGCACAGAAUGAAGAAAAGAGAAGUGGGGUUCCUAGAGGAAAUCAAUGGGGAAGUUGAUCAAUGAGUCUGCUUAUCAGUUAUCACAGUUAUAUCAGUUAUCACACAUGCAGAGUUCAGGGAGAAAUCCUGACCGUUUUGUGUUGUAUUCUUAGGAAUAUUGUAAUGGCUGUGUCUUAUCUCCCACUACUUCCACUGAACAUUGAUUUUGUCUGCACAAGCCAGUGUUACAUCAAUCAAUAAAUCAACCAACCAAUCAUGUUAAAUAAAUGGACAUCUGAUUCCAUAGUCAUAUUCAAAUACAUUUUUCAUGACUUUUGUAUUAAAAGAAAGUAUGGCUAGAGAGAAAUUGUCAGUUGAGGAGCGAAGGAGAAGAAAUAGAGACUACCAAUGAAAGAAGAGAAAAAUUAAACAGUGACCCAGAGAAGAAAUAUGCUAUGCAAGCGGAGAAAAGACAAAGGUGGAAGAGGAGAGUUCAAGACAAAGAAGUAAUACAGAUAGACAAGAUGAGAGACAGGGCAAAGAGGAAUCAGAGAAAGUAUUGGAGAGAGGCACAGAAAAGGCCCAGACAGAAAAGGUUCUGUGAAUGUGCAGUGCAGUGUUUUGCCCGGGCUCUCAAGAAUCAGUGAAAGAACAGAUGCACAAUGAGUGUAUAACACUUUCUUUGUUAGCUACAAAUGCAGACAUCGCCUGUGAUUACACUUCAUACCCCAUCUACCCAUUUGCCUUCAGGACCCACACACACCAACUUGGCAAAGUGGUCAGUGGCUAUAGGAUCAGAGAUGGAAAGUGGAGCCUGAUUGGGAGACAGUCCCCUCAGUUACCGCAGGCUUUCUAUCCUACUAAGAAGGAGGUGCAUGUGAAGUAUGGUGACACCAUUGCAGCCAGAUGUGGGUUUACUGGUGAGGGCAGAACCUCUAAGACUUAUAUUGGGUGAGUUCCAAUUCUCCUAAUGGAUUUUU